UACGGAGGAUCCAAGCGUUAUCCGGAAUCAUUGGGUUUAAAGGGUCCGUAGGCGGUUUAAUAAGUCAGUGGUGAAAGCCCAUCGCUCAACGGUGGAACGGCCAUUGAUACUGUUAAACUUGAAUUAUUAGGAAGUAACUAGAAUAUGUAGUGUAGCGGUGAAAUGCUUAGAGAUUACAUGGAAUACCAAUUGCGAAGGCAGGUUACUACUAAUGGAUUGACGCUAAUGGACGAAAGCGUGGGUAGCGAACAGG
rnacentral:rRNA from 1 species